GAAGGAAGAACAUAAAGUCUAGAUUGGGAAGUAAAGAAAGUUUUACUUGCUUUCGAAAAAUACAUCUGGUUUACGGCCCUCCUCUCAGCAGCAGCAGAUUCUUCUCCUCCUGCAGCCAUCAUGAAAAUAGCAUCUUUUAACAUUCAGAAGUUUGGAAUAACGAAAGUGUCAGACCCUGAUGUCCUCGAAAUCCUGACUAAGAUUGUGUCUCGAUAUGACAUCAUUCUGAUCCUGGAGGUGGUGGACGCCAGCGGAGAGUCCAUAGAAAUCUUCAUGAAAGAACUCAACAA